rnacentral:rRNA from 1 species
GUAGUCUGCAACCCGACUACAUGAAGCUGGAAUCGCUAGUAAUCGCGGAUCAGAAUGCCGCGGUGAAUACGUUCCCGGGUCUUGUACACACCGCCCGUCACACCAUGGGAGUCGGAAAUGCCCGAAGUCUGUGACCCAACCGGAAGGAGGGAGCAGCCGAAGGCAGGUCGGAUGACUGGGGUGAAGUCGUAACAAGGUACC